GUCGUCCUUCGGGAUGGCAUUAGUGGCGAACGGUCGCGUAACACGUGGGCAACCUGCCCUGAAGCGGGGGACAACAGCUUGAAAGAGCUGCUAAUACCGCAUGUGUCUAUUGAGUGGCAUCACUCGAUAAACAAAGCCGCAAGGCACUUCAGGAUGGGCCCGCGGCCUAUCAGCUAGUUGGUGAGGUAAUGGCUCACCAAGGCUUCGACGGGUAGCUGGUCUGAGAGGACGAUCAGCCGGAUUGGGACUGAGAUA
rnacentral:rRNA from 1 species